ensembl:lncRNA
GUGUAGCCAGCCCAGUAGUUCUAAGAAAUGAAAUCCCAAAUCUGAUACAUGAAGGGCAUCGAGAAUUGAAUAACUGUUCAAAAGCAGGUUCUGGACUGCUUCGCUUCAAUAAAGAUGUAAAGAACAAAGGAAUAGCGUGCAACUACUGCACCAUCAAUAGAUGCUUGAAAUACAAAAGCUGGAAAAGCGGAGAAGUGUGGAACCUGGCAAAACGUUAAUACCUGCUUUGCAGAGAGGAAAGGCGCAUCACGGAGACGUGGAAUCGGAAAGGGCCCCAAGAGGUCAUCCUGUGCCACGGCUUAAAUUCUCUCUGGCUGGGGACAUCUAGUCUCUUAUUUAAAAUGUCCAGAGAAAUAUGACAGAUCGUGUUCCAGAGAAAGAAGAGAAUGUGCUUUUACUUGUGGCAGCCACUGGACAGCUGACCCACUGGGCGUGGUAAAUCAGGGUUGAAAACAAUGACAUACAAAGAAUUUCCGAACUCAUCAGACCUCCUCUGAUGUACAAGACUGGCAUCUGCCUGCAUGCCAACAGGAAUCUUAUGAAACCAAAAUUUCAGCCCAAAGAGAUCUGGACCCUGUAACAGGAAUUCUUAUAAUUCUCAAGCCAGAACUCAUAAGUUUCAGCUACUUCGAUGAAGGGAGAAGAGGCCAUUUGGGGGGAUCCCCUGGUCGAUGUGGUCAUCGUGACAACCUGUGCUGCUUGUUAGGAAAUAAUAUCCAAGUGGAAGGGAUGUUCAUAGUUUAUAGUCAUAAGCUAAGAGAAUUUAAUACCAGACUGAAAUUAAAACACACGCACACACACCCAUACACACACACUUGGAGCCUCCAGGAAUGUGAGAGACAUAAGAUAACAGCAUUUGUAUCACAAUGCCAAUUUAUUAAUUAAGACCGAAAUGUGUAAGAUUUCCAUUUUCGAUGAAGUUGCAUCAGUAAUGUCCCUGCAUCCAAAAUGUCCUCAGUUCCUAUUAAUAAGGCUAAAGGGAGAUUCUUUGCAAAAUGGUUGGAAUGUUUUGAGAUUUCUGAACCCCUUGGGAACACUAGGCAGAAUAAUGGACCAGAUUUAAAGGGAGAUUCUUUGCAAAAUGGUUGGAAUGUUUUGAGAUUUCUGAACCCCUUGGGAACACUAGGCAGAAUAAUGGACCAGAUUUAAUGAUCUCUAUAUCGUCCAUGCUGGUUGCCUAGACACAUCCCUCAAAGAUUAGUAGAUGCUGGUUUUGUCCAUUUAAUCAAAGAGAGGAUAUAUAAAAUUUAGACACUGUUUCAUUUCUGGGUGCUUUUCAGGGAAGUGCCAGAGAUUUCAGGGGACCUGGGGAGUUGUUUCAUCUGUUGUCAGGGCAUUCCUGUGAGGAAUACAAUUUGGUACAAAAGUACACUAAAUACAUAUGGUAGUCAGCGUGACCGUAUCAAUGCUAUAGCUGAAGAAAUGGAAUCGAAGACUCAGAGUUGAGGCCAACGUUUGUAACGAUGAUCCCUUCAUUUCAGUCUAAGAGACUGUCUUGGUCAGAACAAUCUCCUGUACGGGGACAUGAGGCUGCCAAGCAAAGGCCGUUUGUAAUGAGACUUUUUCUUUAGUUACAAGAUUGUCUUCUAAAUUAGUUGAAUCUAUGGGCCACAAAUAUAGAACUGCCUGACCCAACUUGACUUUAACAUGGCAACACACCAUGCUAUGUCUGAAAUGUAUGCAAGGAUGGGGUUUUAGCUCCAUUUUUUUUAAGAGGGUUUGAUAGUUAUUUGUGCCUAGGCAGCCUAAUCCCUGAAGGACUGGCCACUGUCUGUAAGUGAGAGCUGUCCCUAGCUGGCCCCAUAAAAGAGGAACUGGUGGCUAUAUUUGGGAUGGCAUGAGGCAACAGGACAAGCGCUGCUCAUGUUGCUACUGUCACACCUUCUGAGAUUCAAAGUGUUCUUCCAUCCUAGACUGUAAAAGGAAAGGCCCAGUUUCCUUGGGAAAAGGGAAGUAACUAGCUGGUGUAACCCAUUAGGAUGCACGGUACCCUGCCUGGGUGGUGAGCAGCCCUUCACAUUUCUCUUUGAAUAUGCAUUCUCUUUUCCCCACUGUCUCCAUGCAUAUUCUCUUUGGAUACACAUUUCUUCCCUCCCUCGUGGAGGGAAGGGGGUGGCAUUAAAACAUGCUUGUACUUUAUCUGUGAGUCUGUGACUCUGGGUAAAGGUUCACUCACUAAGAGGAAGAAAAUCCUAUUUUAAGUUCCACCUCUGGAACUAGGAACUUAAUCCUUGAUUAGACAAAUAGUAAGGUCAGUGAGUAAUAAUUAGAACCUGUUCCUAGAACCCCACCACAUUAGAAGGUCUUACGCACACAUCGUGUCUCUUACGGGGAAAGGAAUGACAGACAUGCUCACUUCCAUGUGGCUACUUGACAAGGAUCCAAAAUAACACAAUGACUCCAUGGAUAUUUCUAUAGGUUUUUUUUCCUGUUACUCUUUUUGUUUGAUGUUUAUGUGAAAUCACAGAGAACAAUCACUGUUCACUUAGUGAAUGUACAUUGAGUCUCAAAGAUGUGCUAAGGGAAUUUUGAAGUAUAGAAAGAAACAUGGUACUGUGAGCCAUCAGAUUAAUGCCAGCCCCUAUUUAAUUAUAGGUAUGCUAUGAUGUUUUUAUACAUCGAGCCCAUCUUAUAAAUCAAGUAAAUAAAUAAAUAUAGUUGACAAUAGCUCGUGCUCAUCUGUGGACUAUUUAGACAAUUGCAAGUGAAAAUGAAUAUUUUUUCUUUCCAUAUUUUACCAAAUUUGCUAAUUUCAUGAUGAGGAGUGCCUGCUUAUUUCCAGGGUUUAAAUGUUAAAAGUCUCUUGAUGAACACGGAAUAAAUUAAUUGGUAAAUUAGAAAAAAGUUUAUGAAAUCAAAGUACAAAAUACGCUCUUUGCCUCAUGUACAAUGCAAUACUGUGUUCAUAACCAGUAAACGCUCUGAAGUUGUUGCCAUGUGCAUGCUAGAUUGGAGAAACAGUUGAAACCUUGCACAAGGGUGAUUUUUUUCCCUUUGAUUCACAGAAUGGAAAUAACAUAAGCCAUGUCUGAUUUUUGAAAGUAUAAACUGAAGUAUGAAAAAGGUGAGGGACCCUUCACUGCAUCAAGACUUAGAGUUAGAACCAGACAUAAUGAGACAACUGGAAAGCCAGCUAGAAGAAAGUUUACAAGACUAUGACCUCAAACUAUAAUCUUCAAAGAGGAAAAGAGAUAAAUUAAGAAAACAACUUGUCAGGUAAUGUCCCCAUGCAGUGGACCUCUGGCGUUCUGGCCUGCCCAGAAUCUCUUUGUUCUUUUUCUGGUAACCAUACCUUUAAUUUCCUGUGAGGAAACCACCCUCUCCUAAUCUCAGAGCACAAGGAGAUUGGGUACACUGCUGCUCCUGAAGUAGACAUGUAAUUCCAGCUUUUGCCAUCAGGAUAUUCCCUCCCCCUGACCACAAUGAUUGGCUCAAGGAUGGGCACAUGACUCCAUUUUGGUCGGUCAUAACCAGGCCCAGAGGCUCUUUGCUGAGCUGAACAUGAACCCAAGAAGAUAUUAGUCUGAAGUUCCUGGGGGCCAUCAUAAGAAGAUCCAUCCAAGAGGGAAGCCAACAAAUGAGAGACAAAUGAAGAAAAGAGACCACAGAAAUGGAGACCAGCUGGUGGACAUGUUUUGGAUUUACAGUGCAUCAGAGCAGUCUGAGAUGAGUGAACACAAUGGAUUAUAGAGGUUCCAUUUCAGUAGACCAAGCACAGACUUCCAGGAAGCCUUUGAUAGGCAGGCUUUGCUGGGUUGCCUCCACCAUUCCAUCAAGCUUCCUCUGACUCUGUCUGAUAUGAUUGACAAGUAUGCAGAAUUUUAAAGUGGAAUAAAGGCACAGAGAAAGAACUACUUUUCUUUGAUCAAUUUGGUGCAGUUUUAUAACAACAUAUUAAGAAAGAACUGCUUUGUAAAAUAAAAAUGUAAGCAGAAUUCUAGUGUAGCAAAUACAUAUACACGUAUGUAAAAGAAUAAAGAUCUGUGUAGGAAGAAUUGGAGGCCAGGAUAAGAGCCUCAAAGGGUGCCCUGUGUAGAGAAUCUAAAACUUAAUUCUUCAAUGUGAACAAUCUACAGAGAAGAAAACUGGAAAGGAGAGCAAGGAACAGAUGAAAUAUAAAAAGAAAGAUUUUUGAUACACAUAAGAGGUAAUUCAAGUCUCAAGAACAUGAUCUAGAAUCAUGAUAAAAAGAGAAGUGCUGAUGAAGGCUUAAAAAUCCAGGCAGAUUCAGGAGAUGCCCCUGGAUUCCACGUUUCCCAGUGUGCUUCCCAGAUCUCACCCAGGGAACCAAGUACCCAUCCAUUUUCUUUACCUCAUUUAGAAAAAGCAGGGACUUCAAGCCAGACUAGUUGCUUCUCAAGGGGAGAAGAUAUUUCUUCUUCUUUUCCUUCUCCUCCUUCUUCUCCUUUCUUCUUGUUUCCCAGGGUAUUCCACAGUGGCUAUCAGAUACCGUUGAAUUGAUUGAUUAAUUAAUUACAAUUGAAAGUGACAAUGGCAUUCUGAACUAACCCCUAAUUUUACCGAUGGGAAAAGAAGUGUCAGAAGGCUGAGGAUUUAGUUCAAAGUCAUAUAGCUAGUUAAAGGAUCAUCCAAGACAAGGGUUCAAUAUUCCUGAGCUGAGGGAAAGAGUGUUUACACCUAGAAACGUAUUCUGGCUGGUAGUGACUCUCCUAAUCAAUUAGAAGAAUGUUGCCGCACGGAAGAGGGUGGUAUCUCAAUAGAAGAUUCCUUCCUAUCCUGCUUUACUCAGAGACACUUCAAAUAAGAACAGCAGUGAACUGAGGAACAGAGAAUGGAUGAAUGGAUGGGGUGGUGAUAAAAAGAGACUUUGCAAAUAUAUUGUCAAAAGGCUUAUUUGGACUCACUGUUUUGGCAGAAGCAUCUAGAGACAUCAGUCUACCAGUAAGCCAGUGGUGUUCGUUAGUGCCUUUAGCUUGUGGACUCUAGGUCAGGGCAGAGGAGGACACCGAAGAGACAGAUGACAGUCCUGGAGAGAGAGAAAGCCCGCUCACAUACACAGGCUUAAUUUCACACAGCUCGUUUAAUGGAAAUUGUUAGACCUGGACUAAUCCUGUCUUCAUCACCAUCCAACUGAGCAGCCUCUCGGUAACUGAGGGGUAAGGAUGAAAUCAUCACUAAGAUCCUUCUGGCUCGAACAGUACCAAAUUCUGAGUGUCAUGGGGAUGUGGCAUAAAGGCCUAAUUAAAUUCAGUUGAGGUUAAUCUAGAAUUGUCCAUCCUGCUUUCCUCUUCUGGCUUUCACUGACAAAUAAAUGUAAACCUGAAAUUCAUUUUGUUUCCAGAAUGCCUGAGAUGCUGAAAUUAUUCAUAUUUUAAUCGGCUUUUAACAAGAAUAGGUAAGAAAGAAAAUUAGGACAAUUAAGAAAUAAUGAAGCCAUUAUAAAAGCAGUAAUGAUUUAAAAGCGGGGUGGGGGGG